rnacentral:rRNA from 1 species
AUGAAGGACCGCCGCGGCGGCGCCGGCUUCCCCUUCUCCAUCGGCUGCAUGUCGCAGUCUGCCGUAGCCGUCGCCGACCCGCUCCACAAGAAGCCGCAGCCGCCACAGCCAGCAAAGCAGGCCGACAACCCCUCCUCCUCCUCCACCACCACCACAACCAUGGCGGCCACCACACUGGACAGAGGCGCCGGAGAAGAAAGCAGCGAGGAGAAGACGAGAACCGCGGCGGCGGCGUCAGGGGUCCUCACGGCGGGGGUGCAGCGGCUGCUCAGGGGAAUCAAGACCUUCUUCGCGGCGUACGACGGCGAGGAGGAGGACGACGACGAGGAGCGGGAGAUCGUGAUCGGGUACCCCACGGACGUGCAGCACGUCGGGCACAUCGGCUGGGACGGGAUCAACAAGGUGGGCGUGGGCAUGGCCGGCGCCUUCUCGCUGCCAUCCUCCCUCUCCCUCCGCCAGCUCGAGAUCGCCAUGGACCCCGGCGCCGCAACCACCGCCUGCAUCAACUGA